rnacentral:rRNA from 1 species
GAUGAACGCUGGCGGCGUGCCUAAUACAUGCAAGUCGAGCGAACAGACGAGGAGCUUGCUCCUCUGACGUUAGCGGCGGACGGGUGAGUAACACGUGGAUAACCUACCUAUAAGACUGGGAUAACUUCGGGAAACCGGAGCUAAUACCGGAUAAUAUAUUGAACCGCAUGGUUCAAUAGUGAAAGACGGUUUUGCUGUCACUUAUAGAUGGAUCCGCGCCGCAUUAGCUAGUUGGUAAGGUAACGGCUUACCAAGGCAACGAUGCGUAGCCGACCUGAGAGGGUGAUCGGCCACACUGGAACUGAGACACGGUCCAGACUCCUACGGGAGGCAGCAGUAGGGAAUCUUCCGCAAAGGGCGAAAGCCUGACGGAGCAACGCCGCGUGAGUGAUGAAGGUCUUCGGAUCGUAAAACUCUGUUAUAGGGGAAGAACAAAUGUGUAAGUAACUAUGCACGUCUUGACGGUACCUAAUCAGAAAGCCACGGCUAACUACGUG